AGGCAGCAGUGGGGAAUUUUGGACAAUGGGGGCAACCCUGAUCCAGCCAUUCCGCGUGAGUGAAGAAGGCCUUCGGGUUGUAAAGCUCUUUUGUUCGGGACGAAACGGUUAAGGUUAAUAACCUUGACUAAUGACGGUACCGGAAGAAUAAGCACCGGCUAACUACGUGCCAGCAGCCGCGGUAAUACGUAGGGUGCGAGCGUUAAUCGGAAUUACUGGGCGUAAAGCGUGCGCAGGCGGUNNNNNNAGCCAGAUGUGAAAUCCCCGGGCUUAACUUGGGUAUGGCAUUUGGGACUGUAAGGCUAGAGUAUGGCAGAGGAGACUAGAAUUCCUGGUGUAGCAGUGAAAUGCGUAGAUAUGUGGAGGAAUACCGAUGGCGAAGGCAGGUCUCUGGGUCAAUACUGACGCUCAUGCACGAAAGCGUGGGGAGCAAACAGGAUUAGAUACCCUGGUAGUCCACGCCCUAAACGAUGUCAACUGGUUGUUGGGGGAUUUAUUCUCUUAGUAACGAAGCUAACGCGUGAAGUUGACCGCCUGGGGAGUACGGUCGCAAGGUUAAAACUCAAAGGAAUUGACGGA
rnacentral:rRNA from 1 species